UAAUAAGUGUUUUAUGGCACUUUUUGAAUCCAUAUCCACCUUGUGUGCAAUGUCAGUCGAUCUUCUUCAUGGAGAUCGACCAAACAUCAACCUUUAUCUUUUAACUCUUUGUCUGAAAAAUAUUAUGAAUAAACAAUUCAAAAUA
rnacentral:misc_RNA from 1 species